GGCUCUGACCUGCCGCCCCCUGGCGGCCGCGCAGGGACCCACGGGGCCGCCUGCCCCCUUGUGCGACAUGUGCUGCCGGCCCUGGGCUCCAUGAGCGUGGCGGGUACUUGGCAGGAUCGGGUGUUCCCGUCCGGUUUUCUCUUGAUAAGCUGGCGCGGAGAGGAGAAAACUGGAGAGCGCAGCAGGUUCGUGGUUUUUAUGUGACCAGAAAGAAGAAAAUGAGCAUCAUGCCACGAGGAUCACAGCAGUUGGGGAAACAACUCUUUAUCCAGGCGUGCAGCCACGAGGUCUUGAUUGGGGGAGGGGUGGUGAAGAAUAGUCUUCUUGGUUGCCCUUUUUCUCUAGCUCGAGCUGGACAGUAGAGCUCAGGCUUGCUGCUGGUCGUAUUACAGUAUUUCAGGAGCACAUUAAUUCAUGCUCCUACAGGGAUCUUUGUGAUUUUUUUCAACUUUAUUUUGUUACACCGAUUUCCAUCCAAUACAUUGUUGCCCCGGCCCUGUUGUCCUUGCUUUUGCAAAUGGAUAGACUUGCCCCUUAGGAAGAUUAGAGGAGAGCAACUUUGAAUAGGGUUUAGAAAGUGGUAGUAAUUUUGAGCAAAUGUGCUUAUCCUUUCUCUGUCUUCACCCCCACCCCCAGCCCUAGUCAUACACGUGGACCUAAGGACCCUAAGUAUUGCCCAAGGAUACUUGCUGAGGAGGAAGUUUGCCUGAGUGGUAUCUGACAAUCUGGAGAACAGAAGAAAGGGGAUUGCUGCCUGGUCAAUCUGCUGCUUUCCUCUAAAGAAAUGCAAGAAGCUUAUUGACGGAUCCCUGAGCAGCAAGGUGAGGAUUUCACAGGUGUGGGUUUGAUUGUAAACGGUCAGAAUUGUUCAGUUGUUAGUAAAACAGAAAGAAUCAUUUUUAACUCCAUUCUUAACAUUUUUGAAUUAAAACUUGUUUUAGAUGAUUAAUGAAAAAUUAAUCAUCCUUUAGGAAUCACAUGUGAAAGGAAAUCACAUUUCCUUUAAAAAGUGAUAAAGUCAUAUAAUGUCAACAUGAUUCCUGUGUUUUCUAUAAAGGGAGUGGGGUCUGUAGCAAGUUUUGGGAUGUUAUGUUUGUCUUUCAGUGUAGGAAGCCUGCCAGAUUCUUUCUUCAGUAUGCUGAGGUAGAAGUAUAAAAUUAAUAAGUAAGGUCUUAAUUAGGAUCUUUGGAUGCUGAGCCUAUGGUAAUUGUGUUCAGAAUGUUUCGAACUUAAAAAAUGAGAUAUAAUUUUAGGAAGGAAUGUAUUUCUUAGAGGCCUAUUAGUGAAGAGGACUUUUCCUAAGAUUUUCUUUUUUUUCCCCCUUAAGUUCCUUUCGACACUAAGGACAUCACAUCAAGCAGAAAUACAUACACACUUUAGUUCAGCAAAUGGGCUAGUUGAUUGUCUUGAAAAUUCUGUUGGCAAAACAGCUUUCGUCUCCUAGUUUGAUCUUGUGGUGACUUAGGCAGAUAUUUGCUAUGACCUUUUUCAGGAAAGGAGGGGCUUACUGAUGUCUUAUGUUACAUGAAAGUAAUUAGAUUGAUUUUAUUAUUAAGGAAGCAUUAUAAAGACUGUAUAAUCUGAUUUUACUAAAAGCCCUUAAGAUAUUCACUUUUAACAGGCAAACCUAGCACAGAAAACCAGCUGGAUUUUUUGCUGUGCAUGGUUUGAAGAGUCAGUCCUACAUAAUUGCUGACACAAUUGCAACCUGCAGCUGCCUGGAGAAAGAACAAUGUCACUAAAAUUUGUUGUAUGUAUAAUCCAAUUCUAUUCUGUAACUGAUAACACUAGUUUGUCUGACUUUAGGGAAUUAAUAGAAUCUCUAAACAGUCAAAACAGCUCAAAUGAGCACAGGCCAUUCUGGGUGUUUAACGGACAGUAAGCAGCAUGCCUCCUCGGAGUUUUCCAGAUUAUUUUGUGUAGACUUUUCCAGAUUUUUUUUAAAUAUAUAUAAAACUGCUUUGUGCACUCUGAAUUGGUGUGCUGUUGUUUGUGUAAAUGAUUUGUAAUGCACUGCUAGUUGUCUGUGAUCUACUCAGUAAGUAUGUGCUGUGAAUUUUAAAGUAUAGAGUGUUAAAAAGGAUUUCAGUUUUCUGGUAAUCUAAAAUUGAGCAUUGUGAGGUACCUGGUUUAUUGUGGUCACAGAUUUGGAGUGAUGUUCAAAUUGUUUAGUGCUAAUAAAUACUGCAUUUUACAUCUUGAUGUACGUAAUAAGCAUUUUGAAAUAAAGUUAUCUUGUAGCACUGGUGGUGAUCUUGUAUCUUGUUUUUCCUUCAAGUGGCCCAAACAUAACUUUUCUUGUUGAGGGCAUGGGGAGACCAGUCUUAUCUUUAACCAUGGAGUUUGUAUUUUGUCUUAACUUACAGGUAAGAGAAAAUCAUUGCGAAAGCUUAAAUAUGCCCUGAUUUCAAGAAUAAGGCAAAAUAGGAGGGUACUACCUUUUACAAAUUGGUCAGAAAGCAACAAAUUGUGCUUGUGUGUCUUUGAUUUGGAUUCCUAAUAUGAUCUGGUAGGGAAGACUCCAGGAACAAAUGGCUAAGAUGAUGGGCACAAAGAGCUUAUCUGUCCACUUAGCCCUUGUGACUGCAUGCUGUGGUUAAAACUUGGGGAGACUGCUCAGGCGUCUGAGAUGUCUAAAGUUGGUUAAAACAACUAAUGAAUUAGU